UUCGCAAUGCCCGAAAGGGUGACGAAGCGACGCCGCGUGGGUGAGGAAGGCCCUCGGGUUGUAAAACCCUGUCAGGAGUUAAGAAAUGUAAGUGCGCUAAUAUCGCAUUUAUUUGACGAAGGCUCCAAAGGAAGCCACGGCUAACUCUGUGCCAGCAGCCGCGGUAAUACAGAGGUGGCAAGCGUUGUUCGGAAUUAUUGGGCGUAGAGAGCACGUAGGUGGGUUUGCAAGUCAGAUGUAAAAGCCUUCUGUUCAACGGAAGAAUUGCAUCUGAAACUGCAAGUCUUGAGUGUAGGAGGGGAGAAUGGAACUUCUGGUGGAGCGGUGAAAUGCGUAGAUAUCAGAAGGAACGCCGGCGGCGAAAGCGAUUCUCUGGCCUAUUACUGACACUCAGUGUGCGAAAGCUAGGGGAGCAAACGGGAUUAGAUACCCCGGUAGUCCUAGCCGUAAACGAUGGGCACUAAGUAGAGGGGUUUUA
rnacentral:rRNA from 1 species